CACCACAACAGGUGGAGCCUGCGGUUUAAUCGGACUCAACGCCGGGAAACUCACCAGAUAAGACAGCUGAAUGAUAGUCGGGCUGAAGACUCUACUUGACUAGCUGAGAGGAGGUGCAUGGCCGUCGUCAGUUCGCACUGUGAAGCAUCCUGUUAAGUCAGGCAACGAGCGAGACCCACGCCAACAGUUGCCAGCUCGUCCUCCGGGAUGGUGGGGACACUGUUGGGACCGCCUCUGCUAAAGAGGAGGAAGGAAUGGGCAACGGUAGGUCAGCAUGCCCCGAAUUAUCUGGGCUACACGCGGGCUACAAUGGGUGGGACAAUGGGUAUCGACACCGAAAGGUGAAGGCAAUCUCCUAAACCCAUCCGUAGUUCGGAUUGUGGGCUGCAACUCGCCCACAUGAAGCUGGAAUCUGUAGUAAUCGUGUCUCAAAAUGGCACGGUGAAUAUGUCCCUGCUCCUU
rnacentral:rRNA from 1 species